UACGGAGGGGGCUAGCGUUAUUCGGAAUUACUGGGCGUAAAGCGCACGUAGGCGGCUUUGUAAGUAAGAGGUGAAAGCCUGGAGCUCAACUCCAGAACUGCCUUUUAGACUGCAUCGCUUGAAUCCAGGAGAGGUGAGUGGAAUUCCGAGUGUAGAGGUGAAAUUCGUAGAUAUUCGGAAGAACACCAGUGGCGAAGGCGGCUCACUGGACUGGUAUUGACGCUGAGGUGCGAAAGCGUGGGGAGCAACAGG
rnacentral:rRNA from 1 species